rnacentral:rRNA from 1 species
UGAGCAAUCUGCCCUUCACAUCGGGAAUAACCAUUGGAAACGAUGGCUAAUACC